rnacentral:sRNA from 1 species
GCCGGGCACAGUGGCACACGCCCGUAAUCCUAGUGUCUCGGGAGGCUGAGACAGGAGGAUCGUGAGUUCAAAGCCAGCCUCAGCAGAAGCGAGGCAUUAAGCAACUCAGUGAGACCCUGUCUCUA